UGGGGAAUAUUGCACAAUGGGCGAAAGCCUGAUGCAGCAACGCCGCGUGAGUGAUGAAGGCCUUCGGGUUGUAAAGCUCUGUCUUUUGGGACGAUAAUGACGGUACCAAAGGAGGAAGCCACGGCUAACUACGUGCCAGCAGCCGCGGUAAUACGUAGGUGGCAAGCGUUGUCCGGAUUUACUGGGCGUAAAGGAUGCGUAGGCGGAUUUUUAAGUGAGAUGUGAAAACCCUAAGCUUAACUUGGGGACUGCAUUUCAUACUGGAAAUCUAGAGUGCGGGAGAGGAGAAUGGAAUUCCUAGUGUAGCGGUGAAAAUGCGUAGAGAUUAGGAAGAACACCAGUGGCGAAGGCGAUUCUCUGGACCGUAACUGACGCUGAGGCAUGAAAAGCGUGGGUAGCAAACAGGAUUAGAUACCCUGGUAGUCCACGCCGUAAACGAUGAGUACUAGGUGUAGGAGGUAUCGACCCCUUCUGUGCCGCAGUUAACACAAUAAGUACUCCGCCUGGGAAGUACGAUCGCAAGAUUAAAACUCAAAUGAAUUGACGGGGGUCAUAGCUGUUUUUCCU
rnacentral:rRNA from 1 species